rnacentral:rRNA from 1 species
CAACUUGAGAGUUUGAUCCUGGCUCAGAGCGAACGCUGGCGGCAGGCUUAACACAUGCAAGUCGAGCGGAUGUAGCAAUACAUCAGCGGCAGACGGGUGAGUAACACGUGGGAACGUACCUUUUGGUUCGGAACAACACAGGGAAACUUGUGCUAAUACCGGAUAAGCCCUUACGGGGAAAGAUUUAUCGCCGAAAGAUCGGCCCGCGUCUGAUUAGCUAGUUGGUGAGGUAAUGGCUCACCAAGGCGACGAUCAGUAGCUGGUCUGAGAGGAUGAUCAGCCACAUUGGGACUGAGACACGGCCCAAACUCCUACGGGAGGCAGCAGUGGGGAAUAUUGGACAAUGG